UGGCUGCAGGAGGGUCUGGUGGAAGGUUUGCCUUUCGCGGGCGGCGGGGCUCUCGAGGCGGCGUGGGGGGGGGAGAGGGCGGCGUGUGCGGCCUUCCCUUUUCUCUCCACGCGCUUCACCAUAGGACGUGGACGGGGCUGCUGCUGGCAAGAGCUUAGCCUUAAUAAAUGGUCAGGGUGCCGAACCAGGACCUGGUUCGAACUCCGCACUCUGCCAUUAUGCUCACCUGGGGUGGCCCUAGCGGUGCCGGACGCUGCCUCUCUUAGCCUAGCCUAACCUUCCUCGCAGGGUUGUCGUGGGGAUUGAGUGAGACGGGGAGAGCCAUGUAUACCACCUCGAAUUCCUUGUUGGAGAAAAGGGGUAUAAAUGCAGUAAAUUAAUAUUAUCGCCUCGCCGCCGCCGCCAAAAUAGUCUUUUCUUCAUUGCCUUACUCCUAUAGUUAACAGUACGCGGGAGUUUACUUCCCAGGGCCCAGGGGUGCUCAUUUGGACUUUCAGCAAGACUGCCUUGCCUCUCUUAGAUUGAUUAGUGGGCCAUGGAGUAAGGUGGUUUGUGGCAACAUGUAGAUCAGGCAUCCCCAAACUUCGGCCCUCCAGAUGUUUUGGACUACAAUCCCCAUCAUCCCUGACCACUGGUCCUGUUAGCUAGGGAUCGUGGGAGUUGUAGGCCAAAACAUCUGGAGGGCCGCAGUUUGGGGAUGCCUGAUGUAGAUCUUCUGCUCUUGUGGGUAAGAAUGUAAAAAGACUGGGCCCAAUGGCCCAUCUGGUCCAACAUCCUGUUCUCACAGUGGCCAGUAAGAUGCCUGUGGGAAACCUGCAAACAAGACCUGAGCACAGGAGCACUCCUGUGAUUUUCAGCAGCUGGGACUCGGAAGCAAUACUGCCUGGGAUGGUGAAGUAGUGGAACCACCCCCAGGGUAAAAGCUAUUUGCAUUUGGACAAGUUGACUCUACCAUUUUGGAAGUACUGCAUUUUUUUCCUUGAGGUACUGAUGGGCCAAAAACAGUACAGAAAAAGGAUUCUCGUAGGUAAGUAUGACUUAUUUGAGAUCUACCUAAGAGGUUCUAGAUGCAUGCAGGGGGACCUGUUACGUAUUAGGCCAUAUGCUAGAGAUACAAAUUGUAUAUUUCUAUUGUACAGUAGGCCUUGGAGAGGGGAAAAGAAUGACUAGGGACACUAGAUCUCAUUUGUGCAUUAUCACAUGCCUUAUUGGUCCCUCUGUGUGUUCUUGUUUUUAUUAAUUAGCAAGCCAUUGUGCCUCUCAUCAGUGGAAGCUCAGUGCUUGAAAUAUGGCUGCUUUAAUAAUUUGUCCUAAUAUUCCAUACUUAGCAGAAGCCACUGUCCCUGUAAUUUUGAAAAAUGACUUGGAAUGUCUUCUUACAUUUCAAAAUAAACUUGGUGUAACUUAAAGAGUAAAUCAGCCAGCAGCAAAUACAGUUUGAGUACUACCGGUAUACAGAAUAGGUGUUGGGAUGAUUGCCUCAUUUAAGGUUGCUGAUUAAUUAUCACAAUGGGGAAUUGCUGCAGCUGCUUGGUGGGCAGCAGUUUUAUCAGGUAAGGCGUCUGGAGGCCUGAAAACAGAGAUAGGGAAAGCUCCAGUGCCUGACUAUCUGGGGUGCUCAUUGGACUGGGACCAACUGAUGGAGGAAUAAAAACCAGGCAAUACAAGUAUUCCAAGCCUGAACAUGAGAACUGCAACUAUUGGCAUGCUUUCCAAGUUGCUUUCUGCCUGUUCUUUCAUGUUGCUGAACUGGGCCUUCAUCUCCUGGAGGCAUGGAGCAGCUUGAGCUCUGCACUCUGUUAUUCCACAGGUAGCGUAUUAGUUUUGUUUACCUUUGUUCAUGGAGUGCUAAACUAUCAGGCCACCUUGGCACAGGGAGCCCUUGUGUGCAGUUUUGGAACUCCUCUGUAAAGGUGGCCGACAUCAUUCCCUCAAAGUGUGAAACACUUAGGAUCUGUCCCAAGAGUGUAUUUGAACUUUAAAAGCUGUACUCAGGCAUCUCAUUCUCUGUACUUACCAUAAGUCUCAUACCAGCCUGGGGAACUUUAGGUUCAGGGUAGUAUUCAACUACAUUUUACUCAGAAUAGACUAACCUGGUUGUGUUCAUUUCAGCGAGUAAAACUUAGUUGAACACCACUUUUCCCCCACCAAAUCAUGAAGUGAUCUUGGGCUAUUUGCCAUCUCCCCUUAAUUCACUACAUACAUGUGAUGAAUCAGUGUUUUGGGCUUGUAAAUUUCCAGCCAUUAGGCAAUCAUGGAUCUGGGACAUAUUCAAAAAUGCAGGGGAUUGUGAGUAACUCCUACUGUUACUCACAAAUAAAACACUUGCAAAUAAAGAGAAUCUCCAGUUUUAAUUCAGAAAUAAGUGGAUCUGUUCAAUUGGAGACUAUGGGGAAACACUAGCUUCUGAUUUUAGGUGUGAAGCUUCUGACUUGACUUUUCCUUGCCAUAAUGACCAUUAUAACUUUUAUAUUCCAGGUAAGUGCUGUUGGAAGAGCAGUGCUCAGGUUCUGCAGAGGAAAGAGUUGUCAAAAUUCCAUUUUGUUCUCAUGUGUCAUUCU